CGCGACACCUUUUGAGUCAUCUGAGGAGGUCCCCACAAUCAAACUGCUCUCAACACUUAUUCGACAUUGAGAUGCAGAAACUGCAGGAUGUUCAGCAGACAAGGCACCAACAAGUCCCCUUCAACAUCCACAUCAUGGUGCUUGCGCAAAUCUGUAGCCCAAGAUGAGUGGCGGAAUGCAAGGUCUUAUCAUAUCAACUGCUUGCUGUCCUGCAAUGUGGCUCCAGAAAAGAACUGCAGCCACUGCUAUGUAAAAAAAGAUGGCAAAUAUACACUGGUCAAUCAAGUAUGUUUAUUACCUACAGUGAGACCUGUCCAGUUAUGCACUUGCGACCCUUCAAACUUCACAGAAUCAGCUGGCAGAGCAAUCAUUUUGGUUUGCAUAAAUGUUGCACUUGCCAAACUUGCUGUGUAGAUUAUGUCUGGCUCAUUGGACACCUGACAUGAGCGACCUAAGAAGAAGUGGGUACUGGCCAGCAUCUGUGAAUGCUGACACGCUGUUUUCAGUCGACAUCU